rnacentral:rRNA from 1 species
GCUCAGAACUACAAAGAAGUGAGGACCCGCACAAGCGUGGAUCAUGUUGUUUAAUUCGAUGAUACGCGAAGAACUUACCAGGUCUUGACAUCCCCCGCGAUGCUUUAGAGAUAAAGCGGAGGUAUUCGGGGAGACAGGUGGUGCAUGGUUGUCGUCAGCUCGUGUCGUGAGAUGUUGGGUUAAGUCCCGCAACGAGCGCAACCCUAUUGCUAGUUACCAUCAUUAAGUUGGGGACUCUAGCGAGACUGCCAGUGAUAGACUGGAGGAAGGUGGGGAUGACGUCAAAUCAUCAUGCCCCUUAUGACCUGGGCUACAAACGUGAUACAAUGGCUGGAACAAAGGGAUGCGAAGCAGUGAUGUGGAGCGAAACCCAUAAAAACAGUCUCAGUUCGGAUUGAAGUCUGCAACUCGACUUCAUGAAGUCGGAAUCGCUAGUAAUCGCGGAUCAGAACGCCGCGGUGAAUACGUUCUCGGGGUUU